GCAAACUUGGUCAUUUAGAGGAAGUAAAAGUCGUAACAAGGUCUCCGUAGGUGAACCUGCGGAGGGAUCAUUACAGAGUUGUAAAACUCCCAAAACCCAGUGCGAAUCUUACCAGUUGUCUUCGUUGCUUCGGCAGGCGGUCCCAGGGCGGGACCUUUGUCUUUACAGGCGCCUGCCGGAGGACCACACAAGCUCUGUUAUUUGUUAUUCUGAAUAUCUAAAAGUCUCUACAACGGGACGAAAUAAGUCAAAACCUUCAACAACGGAUCUCUUGGCUCUGGCAUCGAUGAAGAACGCAGC
rnacentral:misc_RNA from 1 species